AGAACGCACACACUACCUUUCAGGCUUUGUUCAAGCAAGCCGCGAGGUUCUUGCUAUUUUCUCCAAAAACAUAGGGAUGGAAGAAAGAACACGCACGCGCCAAACAACGCCCGCGUGUACUAGAAAUAACAAGAGAUAACCGCUCCCUCCCCCACGGCGCGUACGUUGUACCUCCUGCUAGACGAUUGGUGAGGAAGAAGGGCUUCGUGAGGGAGAUUCGACUGUUGACCGGAGCUGACGGGAUUUGAAGGAGGGGGAACGAUUGCUUGGUGCAUAUCGUAUUUCCUGUGUAUCACAAUUGGCACUGAACAGGGACCUGAGAACCUUUCGUCUGGUGAGCAAAUAAAUCUAAAAAAGCGCACAAAACACUGUUUUGGUGUAAGGUUUGUUUUCUUGCCGGACGGGAGCAGCUUUUCUAAAAGCCCUGAGACGGAGACUUGGACGUUGAGACAGGAGACAAGAGGAACGUUCCGGGGGACUGCACUGGGAGUGAGUAAAAAGGACAGACUCCACCUCUUGAUUUCCAAAUCCAUGAAUACAAAAGCGGAGACUGGGUCCUGAUCAAAGCACUUAAGGAGAAAAAGUUGCAGCCGGUGUGGGAAGGACCGUCCCAAGUUCUGCUAACUACAGGGUCGGCUGUAAGGACUAAGGAACAAGGCUGGGUAUGCUAUUCUAGAGUGAAAGGACCGGAUGGACGGUUGCUGCGAAAUCUACAGAUCCUCUUAAAUUGACCUUUCGUCGACAACCCUUAGACGAUUGAUGACCAACGGAUGGAAGAAGAGUUUUGUGAAGAAUUUUGUAUUUGGCUAGGAGUGAUAUUAAUUUUUGUUGUAUUUUUGAUUAUAUUAAGAAAAGAUAUAAUUGACUGGUGUAAAUCUAUGCUUUGGUAUCCAGUGGAUGUAGGUUCACUUUGACAGUCUGAUACUUUGGUGGUAAGAUAAUAAUAUUUUAUCUUUUUGGAAGCUAUAUUGGAGAGGGGAAUUAGUCCACUAGGAAGAUGGGGUAUAUGGUGUUUCUGUUUAUUCUAUUGAAGGUGCAGAUAGGGAUGGAAAAAGAGAUGUUGGAUGUGUUACAAGAUUAUCCAAUAACAUGGCAGCAGUUAUGUUUCCAUACUGAACUCGAGCACCGAUAUUCUUUAAUAGAGACACUGACCUUGAUAGAGGGUGCUGAAGAAGCUGAUAUAUGUAUAAAAUCAUCUUUUGUAGAUGGUAUACCAUUGGGCAGAUAUGCCAGAUGUAAUAAUAGAUAUGACAUAACCCCUAAAUACACUGAUUUAUUAGAUAGAAUGGAGUUUUUAUAUAAUCAAUGUACUGAUUUAUAUGGUAAUCAUACUCCUUCAUAUAAAAUAUUCCGUAUUUUGGAGGAAGGAUUACGCUUUCCAUAUUUUGAAAUAAAAGCCCCUUUGAAGUUAAUGUUUCUAUGUGGAAAUUUGGCUUUGCCUAAAUUGCCUUAUUUCUGGAAGGGAAGAUGUGCUGUUGGUUAUCUUAAGGCACCUUUAUGAUAUACCAGAAGUAUUGCUGAACGGAGAACGAGAGAAGGCAAUAUAUUUCUGGAUUUAAUGAAGGUAGCUUUAAACAGUACUUCCUUUUGUAUCAGGGGUGAGACAACUGUCUCUGAUAUAAUGGCUACAUGUUUUGUGGGGGUGCCAGUACCGGGAAAGUUUUUAUUUGAAGAAGCAAAUAUCAUAAUAGAACCAAAUAAUUUCAAUUUGUCACAUGUUAUAAUAUUAUUUGGGAGUCCAAAAUACAGCUUUUAGAGAAGUUUGGGAUAUAUUAACCUCAUGGUUACCUAACUUUGCAUGGUUAAGGGAAUUGUUUGUAGGCAUAUUAUUGAUUAUAGUUAUAUGUCUUAUUUCUUGUCUU